AUUGAACGCUGGCGGCAUGCCUUACACAUGCAAGUCGAACGGCAGCACGGGUGCUUGCCCCUGGUGGCGAGUGGCGAACGGGUGAGUAAUACAUCGGAACAUGUCCUGUAGUGGGGGAUAGCCCGGCGAAAGCCGGAUUAAUACCGCAUACGAUGUACGGAUGAAAGCGGGGGACCUUCGGGCCUCGCGCUAUAGGGUUGGCCGAUAGCGGAUUAGCUAGUUGGUGGGGUAAAGGCCUACCAAGGCGACGAUCAGUAGCUGGGCUGAGAGGGCGACCAGCCACACUGGGACUGAGACACGGCCCAGACUCCUACGGGAGGCAGCAGUGGGGAAUUUUGGACAAUGGGCGAAAGCCUGAUCCAGCAAUGCCGCGUGUGUGAAGAAGGCCUUCGGGUUGUAAAGCACUUUUGUCCGGAAAGAAAUCCUUGGCUCUAAUACAGUCGGGGGAUGACGGUACCGGAAGAAUAAGCACCGGCUAACUACGUG
rnacentral:rRNA from 1 species